rnacentral:rRNA from 1 species
GUCUCAGUUCGGAUCGCAGGCUGCAACCCGCCUGCGUGAAGUUGGAAUUGCUAGUAAUCGCGGAUCAGCAAGCCGCGGUGAAUACGUUCCCGGGCCUUGUACACACCGCCCGUCACACCAUGAGAGUCGGGAACACCCGAAGUCCGUAGUCUAACCGCAAGGAGGGCGCGGCCGAAGGUGGGUUCGAUAAUUGGGGUGAAGUCGUAACAAGGUAUC